rnacentral:rRNA from 1 species
GACGAACGCUGGCGGCGUGCUUAACACAUGCAAGUCGAACGGAAAGACCCUGCUUUUGUGGGGUGCUCGAGUGGCGAACGGGUGAGUAACACGUGAGUAACCUGCCCUUGACUUUGGGAUAACUUCAGGAAACUGGGGCUAAUACCGGAUAGGAGCUCCUGCUGCAUGGUGGGGGUUGGAAAGUUUCGGCGGCUGGGGAUGGACUCGCGGCUUAUCAGCUUGUUGGUGGGGUAGUGGCUUACCAAGGCUUUGACGGGUAGCCGGCCUGAGAGGGUGACCGGCCACAUUGGGACUGAGAUACGGCCCAGACUCCUACGGGAGGCAGCAGUGGGGAAUAUUGCACAAUGGGCGGAAGCCUGAUGCAGCAACGCCGCGUGCGGGAUGACGGCCUUCGGGUUGUAAACCGCUUUCGCCUGUGACGAAGCGUGAGUGACGGUAAUGGGUAAAGAAGCACCGGCUAACUACGUG